GUCCCGAGGUGAUUUUCAUGUUGAAUUGCAAAUUCGAAGGAGCAGUUAGAUUUCUGCCGGGGCUUCU
rnacentral:tRNA from 1 species